rnacentral:rRNA from 1 species
ACUCAAAUGAAUAGACGGGGACCCGCACAAGCGGUGGAUGAUGUGGAUUAAUUCGAUGCAACGCGAAAAACCUUACCUACCCUUGACAUGGCAGGAACUUUCCAGAGAUGGAUUGGUGCUCGAAAGAGAACCUGCACACAGGUGCUGCAUGGCUGUCGUCAGCUCGUGUCGUGAGAUGUUGGGUUAAGUCCCGCAACGAGCGCAACCCUUGUCAUUAGUUGCUACGAAAGGGCACUCUAAUGAGACUGCCGGUGACAAACCGGAGGAAGGUGGGGAUGACGUCAAGUCCUCAUGGCCCUUAUGGGUAGGGCUUCACACGUCAUACAAUGGUCGGUACAGAGGGUUGCCAAGCCGCGAGGUGGAGCCAAUCCCAGAAAACCGAUCGUAGUCCGGAUCGCAGUCUGCAACUCGACUGCGUGAAGUCGGAAUCGCUAGUAAUCGCGGAUCAGAAUGUCGCGGUGAAUACGUUCCCGGGUCUUGCACACACCGCCCGU